GGAAAAUAGAUAAGUUUAGUUGACAUAUGACCGGCAAACAUAUUGAAGCAAAAUAAACUUGUAAUUAAAUUCGAAACCUAUAGUGCGUUAUAUUUACUAAUUCGGGCGCAAAAAUAAAUAAAACCUUCUGUCAUACAACCUUGAUUCCGGAAAACUACUUUUUCUUGGAAGACGAUCCCGGGACUCCCGAUUUUGGACCCGAAAGUCCGUGUUCAAGGCCCGGACCCGGUUAUGAAAAUACCUAUCCAACAAGUGGUCACGGUUUGGAAGUUAUAGUCAAAUUAUCGAUUUUUUUGACCCGGAUUUUUUAUAAAAACUAGAAAAGACGAAAAAGGUCCCAUUAUAGGGGUCAACAGAGUUGAUAUAGCUGACACUCUUUCCUUUCCAAAAUCCUACAAUUUGUGCUAAUACUUUUUUCGGGUCCAGAGAUACAUAUUCUCUUCUGGUUAAAAAUUUAACAGUUGUUUGAAAUCCGAUGAAGGAUAUCAUAAUCGUAGACGUCGUGCUUCUAAAAUGAUGCUUUGUAGGAGAAUUUUGCGAAAAUCACAUGAAGUACUGCGAGUCGAAGUUGUCAAAAUACAGAGUAUAGUAUUUAUAAGUACGUCGAAAAGUUACAAAUGGAAUGACAACGUUAAUACAACAACCAAUUUUAUUAUUUGAUGUUUUACAUUAUUAGGUGUUGCAUCAGAUGUUGCAGAUCAGAUAAUUAACUGUACUUUUUCAGGCUCUCUCAGAGCACGCAACGAAGACGGGGAAAAAUUUGGCAUUCUCCAUUCUACAAAAAGGACGCAUAUUUUUAUUUACGAAUUCUAUUAGUUGACGCAUUUUAGAGAGAUUUUUUUCGUUGUCUAUAAUAAGAAAAUAGAAUGAAAUAAAAUCCUAUUUCCAUUUUUUACUUAAA